GAUGAACGCUGGCGGCGUGCCUAAUACAUGCCAGUCGAGCGAACAGAUAAGGAGCUUGCUCCUUUGACGUUAGCGGCGGACGGGUGAGUAACACGUGGGUAACCUACCUAUAAGACUGGGAUAACUUCGGGAAACCGGAGCUAAUACCGGAUAACAUUUGGAACCGCAUGGUUCUAAAGUGAAAGAUGGUUUUGCUAUCACUUAUAGAUGGACCCGCGCCGUAUUAGCUAGUUGGUAAGGUAACGGCUUACCAAGGCGACGAUACGUAGCCGACCUGAGAGGGUGUUCGGCCACCCUGGAACUGGACACCGGUCCGAACUCCAACGGGAGGCGGCAGUAGGAAAUCUUCCGCAAUGGGCGAAAGCCUGACGGAGCAACGCCGCGUGAGUGAUGAAGGGUUUCGGCUCGUAAAACUCUGUUAUUAGGGAAGAACAAAUGUGUAAGUAACUGUGCACGUCUUGACGGUACCUAAUCAGAAAGCCACGGCUAACUACGUG
rnacentral:rRNA from 1 species